GCUCUUGUGGCACAAUGGUUAAGUACUUGGCUGCAAACCAAAAAGCAGGCAGUUCAAACCCACUCAGGGGCU
rnacentral:tRNA from 1 species